ACAAUAAUGAGAUCAUAGUGAUAUUAAAAUGAGAUUAUUGCUUUUGUCUCCUGCUUCUCAGGUUUGUCUCUGGAGCAAAAGAGUUAAGUUAUCUCAUUGUAGACUACCUUUAAUCUACAAAUGAGUUCUCAACAAUGUUUUAAAUAAUGCUCAGUGUUUACCAAUUUAUACAUCUCAUACUUUACUCAGGCUGAUCCACCAGAGACCUCUUUCUGUAAACUCACACAAUUCUCAUUUCAGAUCUAUUUGGUGAGUCUCAGAUUAGGCUCCAUCAGUUCUGUAAAAAAGGGUUAUGCAUCAGAGAGCUCUCUAAGUGAACUCAUUUAAUGCUCAUUUAGUUCUCUCUGGUAAAGAUGCGCAGAUGAUGACAUUAUGAUGUUAGAUCACUUGCGGCGUGACCCACACAUCACCCACCUAACGGUCGGACGCGGCAAACUCGCGUGAAGAAGAAUUUACCUCCAGUCAAGAUUUGGCGCCCAGUGAAACGGCGUGGGCAUGAAGGAUUGUUCAGAACUUGCCACCACGAAAACUCAGAGAAGCUCAAUGCCACCGAAAAGAAGCCGGCAGCCUCCUAAAAAAUUGGAAGACUACCAUAGACUAUCAGACCAAAUUGCUGAACAAACAGCGGUGGACCAAAAUACCUACAUUAUGCACUGCGGAACGCUCAGCGGAUGGACAGCUGUGGAAUCUUCAAAAGUCAAGAAGGCUUUUGUUAAUAAAUGUCAAACGAGGGCCGGAGGUUCCAAAAAAUCCAUGAAGCUGGGGAUAGAAGACGCAGAUUGACCAGCCCACGCUUGCAUCUACCACUGUGUACAGUAUGGCGCAAGUUCAGUUUGUUUAUGUUAUUAGUUUAUUUGUCCAUGUUGUUUGAUUUAUAGAUAGGCUUUAAUUGUCAUUGUAAAAAGAACAUAUCAAGGCAUUAACAUGGCAUUGAGUCCCAUUGCUUGAAGUCCAUUUUAAAGUGCAAGUGUGCAAGCUCCCAUUGCUUAAAGUCCAUGUUUUAAGUGAAACUGGUUUGCUUUGUUUUAUAAAAUAAAAGUUUGAAACGAAA